UGUAAGCGUAUACCAAAGUUGUUGCAGUUAAAACGCUCGUAGUCGGAAUUUGGCAGUUCCGGAUGUGUGCACGUCGUGUGCGCACUUCGCGGGGAUUGCUUUUGUGGUCUUGCGUAGGAUGAGGCACUUUUAUUAGUGAACGUCCUCACGCAACCACUUUUUACUGUGAGAAAAUCAGAGUGCUCAAAGCAGGCAUUUGCCGUGAAUGUAUUAGCAUGGAAUAAUAGAAUAGGACUUGGUUCUAUUUUGUUGGUUUGUUGGGACUGAGUACUGAUUAAGAGGGACAGUUGGGGGCAUUUGUAUUUCGGUGCUAGAGGUGAAAUUCUUAGAUUACCGAAAGACAAACUGCUGCGAAAGCGUCUGCCAAGGAUGUUUUCAUUGA
rnacentral:rRNA from 1 species